rnacentral:rRNA from 1 species
UACGUAGGGAGCAAGCGUUGUUCGGAUUUACUGGGCGUAAAGGGCGCGUAGGCGGCAAAUUAAGUCAGCUGUGAAAUCUCCGAGCUUAACUCGGAACGGUCAGCUGAUACUGAUCUGCUAGAGUGCGGAAGGGGCAAUCGGAAUUCUUGGUGUAGCGGUGAAAUGCGUAGAUAUCGAGAGGAACACCUGCGGCGAAGGCGGGUUGCUGGGCUGAUACUGACGCUGAGGCGCGAAAGCCAGGGGAGCGAACGGG